AGCAACGCCAUUUCCGGAGUAGAAAGAAUAAUAAUGACAACACAAAAACAUAGAAUGUGUACCAAAACUACAAAAACCCUUUUAAACCUGUCCACAUUGUGUUCCCAUUUCACUCUGUCCCAAACUCUGCCUUCUCUCUUUCUUUCCUGUCCUGUUUCUCAACAUCCCAUGAAAUGAAUUCUUAGUAAACACAUCUUCUUUCUUCUAAUAAAAGAACUUAAGAAUUCUACAUAAUAUAAACUAUGGAAUUGGAUGAAUUACGUUCAAUCUUGAAUAAUUCUAGUGUGGAUUUGUGGGAUUUAAUUGACACAGCCAUUUCUGUAGCCAUUCUUGAUCAUGGAAAAGAGCUUCGUAGCCGAAGAGACGGCAUUGUUGAGAAACUCUACAAUUGUAAUUCUGAUGGAAAUUAUGAAAUCCCACAAAGCUUGAUAUAUAACAGAAGUACUGAGAGCAAUAUUGAUGAUUAUAAAUUAAAAAGAGAGGAAAAGAGUGUAGAAUAUGAAGAUUUAGAGAGCAAAAUCCUCAUAAUCAAGAAUCAUUUUGAAAUCCCAAAUCAGUCUGACAAUUGCUUGGUUGAUCUGCUUCAAAGUCUUGCUGAAAUGGACAUUAGUUUCAAGGUUCUUGAGAAAACAGAUAUUGGAAGGCAUGUAAAUAGAGUGCGAAAGCAUUCAUCAAAUGAAGUAAGAAGGCUUGUUAAACUGCUUAUCAGGAGAUGGAAGGAUAUUGUUGAUGAAUGGGUGAGAUUGAAUACACCGGUGGAAGAAACAGGUGAUGCAGACUCUCCUUUUCAACCCCACUUGAACAACUUUCAAGAUGAUUUGAAAGAGAGAGAAUCCCUUUAUGGAAAUAUUUCAAACGGUUCAUCAUCUUAUUGCGGUCAUAAGCAGAGCGUAGAGAAGAACAAUAUUAGUCCAUCGUCAAAACGCCUACGUGAGGAUUACCUAGAAGAAAGUCAUGCCAAAAUACGAAGGACAAGAGAAGUGGACCUUCAAGACGUACGCAAACCAAAAAAAUAAGUGGUUGCUAACAGCAUUUCUGGAUUUCAAGCAAAAUACUGGUAGACAAUCCCUAUUAUAUAGACUGCAACGUACUAGGCUGUGAAGACACAUAUACUCGAUGCAUUGGGAGAAAGCAAAGAGGAAAGGUAUAACAAAUGACACAUAAUAGUGCCAAGUUCUUUGAGGCUAUAAUUGGUGUCAUGUAAUUUCGUCACCAGCCAUGGGCACAUGCAAUGGACUGAGUUAAGCCACAUGACUUUGACUAUGAGAAAAAAGAAGUAUGAAGACUUGUGGGGAUGGUAAUAAGUACAAUUAUGGCCGAUUGGUUAGGGCUAGAAAUUAGUUUGGUCUCCAGCCAUGUGAUGCGCAUUAGUUGAAUAGUGAAGAAUAUUGCUGUGCUUUCAUGACUAGAUGCAUUGCUCUUCUUUCUGUGGACUCGCUAGAAGAUAAUAUAUAUAUAGUUGCUUUGUAGAUAUAGCCUAUAGGGGAAGAGGGAUAAUGUGGAAGCCACUUCACUAUGCAAGUGUACAUAUUUUAUAAAUUUAUGGGCUUUAGGCUUUAGCUUUAUAACUUUUUCGUGGAACCUAGCUUGUUCGUGAUUAGGACGAGUAGUUAUUUCUAUUUGAAAAUAUAUGAUGGUCUUGUUUAGCAUCUACUCUAUGAAGAGUAUGUUCUUAA